AUACGGAGGGUGCAAGCGUUAAUCGGAAUUACUGGGCGUAAAGCGUGCGUAGGCGGCUCGUUAAGUCAGAUGUGAAAGCCCCGGGCUCAACCUGGGAACUGCAUUUGAAACUGGCGAGCUAGAGUAUGGUAGAGGGGGGUAGAAUUUCUGGUGUAGCGGUGAAAUGCGUAGAUAUCAGAAGGAAUACCAGUGGCGAAGGCGGCCCCCUGGCCCAAUACUGACGCUGAGGUACGAAAGCGUGGGUAGCGAACGGGAUUAGAAACCCCGGUAGUCC
rnacentral:rRNA from 1 species